GUGAAGGAAGCGUGAGAGAAGUGACGGAAGUAGAAUGUCCUAAACAUACUCUCCCGUGUCCAGUCCGCGCAACGCAUGAUGUCGGUUAGGGAGGCGCCUGCCAAGAAGGCUUGGGAUGCUGCCGCCCCUCUGACCGAAUGCGCUCCGAAGCCUGAGUCGACUCCUGCUAACCUUAAAAGCCAGAGAACCCAUCUGGCCAGGGUUAUAGUAGACACCGGUCCGUGAG